rnacentral:sRNA from 1 species
UCAGAACCAGCGUGGGUGAAGGGUAGC